AAGUCGUAACAAGGUUUCCGUAGGUGAACCUGCGGAAGGAUCAUUCGCAAUAAAUGGGUUUUUUAUAAUUCAUAGAAGAAAAAAAAAAUCCUUUACCACCUUGAGUGCAAUGUAUGAGAAAAGGGGCCAUUUGGCUUGUCUGAAAUAAACAUAUUCUUUGAAUAACUUAAUUCAAUAAUACAACUUUCAACAACGGAUCUCUUGGCUCUC
rnacentral:misc_RNA from 1 species